UACGUAGGGUGCAAGCGUUGUCCGGAAUUAUUGGGCGUAAAGAGCUCGUAGGCGGUCUGUCGCGUCGGAUGUGAAAACCCAGGGCUCAACCCUGGGCCUGCAUUCGAUACGGGCAGACUAGAGUUCGGUAGGGGAGACUGGAAUUCCUGGUGUAGCGGUGAAAUGCGCAGAUAUCAGGAGGAACACCAGUUGGCGAAGGCGGCUCUGGGCGUAACUGACGCUGAGACGAGAACGUGGGGAGCAAACAGG
rnacentral:rRNA from 1 species